ACCGAAUAGAUACCCCAGGUAGUCCACGCCCUAAACCUAUGCGAACUGGAUGUUGGGUACAUUACGGUACUCAGUGUCGAAAGCUAAACGCGUUAAGUUCGCCGCCUGGGGAGUACGGUCGCAAGACUGAAACUCAAAGGAAUUGACGGGGGCCCGGCACAAGCGGUGGAGUAUGUGGUUUAAUUCGAUGCAACGCGAAGAACCUUACCUGGCCUUGACAUCUGUCGAAUCCUGCAGAGAUGCGGGAGUGCCGCAAGGAACGACAAGACAGGUGCUGCAUGGCUGUCGUCAGCUCGUGUCGUGAGAUGUUGGGUUAAGUUCCCGCAACGAGCGCAACCCUUGUCCCUAGUUGCCAGCACAUCAUGGUGGGUAACUCUAGGG
rnacentral:rRNA from 1 species